rfam:Camelus ferus unplaced genomic scaffold scaffold595, whole genome shotgun sequence.
CAAAAGGCUCUUUUCAGAGCCACCCACUAAUUCAGGUAAAAGAGCU